UAGGGAAUCUUCCGCAAUGGGCGAAAGCCUGACGGAGCAACGCCGCGUGAGUGAUGAAGGUCUUCGGAUCGUAAAACUCUGUUAUUAGGGAAGAACAAAUGUGUAAGUAACUAUGCACGUCUUGACGGUACCUAAUCAGAAAGCCACGGCUAACUACGUGCCAGCAGCCGCGGUAAUACGUAGGUGGCAAGCGUUAUCCGGAAUUAUUGGGCGUAAAGCGCGCGUAGGCGGUUUUUUAAGUCUGAUGUGAAAGCCCACGGCUCAACCGUGGAGGGUCAUUGGAAACUGGAAAACUUGAGUGCAGAAGAGGAAAGUGGAAUUCCAUGUGUAGCGGUGAAAUGCGCAGAGGUAUGGAGGAACACCAGUGGCGAAGGCGACUUUCUGGUCUGUAACUGACGCUGAUGUGCGAAAGCGUGGGGAUCAAACAGG
rnacentral:rRNA from 1 species